rnacentral:tRNA from 1 species
GGUGGCUCAGUGAUAAAGCACUUGCCUUGUAUGCAUGAGGCCCUGGGUUCAAUUCCUCAGCACCA